GACGAACGCUGGCGGCGUGCCUAAUACAUGCAAGUAGAACGCUGAAGAGAGGAGCUUACUCUUCUUGGAUGAGUUGCGAACGGGUGAGUAGCGCGUAGGUAACCUGCCUUGUAGCGGGGGAUAACUAUUGGAAACGAUAGCUAAUACCGCAUAACAAUGGAUGACACAUGUCAUUUAUUUGAAAGGGGCAAUUGCUCCACUACAAGAUGGACCUGCGUUGUAUUAGCUAGUAGGUGAGGUAAUGGCUCACCUAGGCGACGAUACAUAGCCGACCUGAGAGGGUGAUCGGCCACACUGGGACUGAGACACGGCCCAGACUCCUACGGGAGGCAGCAGUAGGGAAUCUUCGGCAAUGGGGGCAACCCUGACCGAGCAACGCCGCGUGAGGGAAGAAGGGUUUCGGAUCGUAAAGCUCUGCUGUAAGUCAAGAACGGGUGUGAGAGUGGAAAGUUCACACUGUGACGGUAGCUUACCAGAAAGGGACGGCUAACUACGUG
rnacentral:rRNA from 1 species